AAGCGGUGGAGCAUGUGGUUUAAUUCGAUGCAACGCGAAGAACCUUACCUGGGCUUGACAUCCCGGGAAUCCCUUGGAAACAAGGAGUGCCCUUCGGGAACCUGGAGACAGGUGCUGCAUGGCUGUCGUCAGCUCGUGUCGUGAGAUGUAGGGUUAAGUCCCGCAACGAGCGCAACCCUUGUCUUUAAUUGCCAUCAUUGAGUUGGGCACUUUAAAGAGACUGCCGGUGUUAAACCGGAGGAAGGUGGGGAUGACGUCAAGUCCUCAUGGCCCUUAUGGGUAGGGCUUCACACGUCAUACAAUGGUCGGUACAGAGGGUUGCCAACCCGCGAGGGGGAGCUAAUCCCACAAAGCCGAUCGUAGUCCGGAUCGCAGUCUGCAACUCGACUGCGUGAAGUCGGAAUCGCUAGUAAUCGUGGAUCAGCAUGUCACGGUGAAUACGUUCCCGGGUCUU
rnacentral:rRNA from 1 species